rnacentral:tRNA from 16 species
GCCCAGGUAGCUCAGUUGGUAGAGCAGCGGACUGAAAAUCCGCGUGUCGGUGGUUCAAAUCCGCCCCUGGGCACCA